rnacentral:tRNA from 1 species
GGUCAUAUAGUUCAAUUGGUAGAACAGCGGAUUCAUGAUCUGCAUGUUGUAGGUUCAAGUCCUACUAUGACCACCA